GUCCGUCGGCGUACACGGACGAACGACGUGGACGGCGUGACUUCAAACAUGCAAGUCGAACGGAGUUAAUUUAGUCUUGUCUAAAUUAACUUAGUGGCGGACUGGUGAGUAACGCGUGAGUAAUCUGCCUAUUACAGGGGGAUAACAGUUGGAAACGACUGCUAAUACCGCAUAAGACCACGGGAAGGCAUCUUCAAGGGGUCAAAGGGAUACUGGUAAUAGAUGAGCUUGCGUAUCAUUAGCUAGAUGGUGAGGGUAAAGGCCCACCAUGGCGACGAUGAUUAGCCGAUCUGAGAGGAUGACCGGCCACGCUGGAACUGAGAUACGGUCCAGACUCCUACGGGAGGCAGCAGUUAGGAAUAUUGGGCAAUGGAGGAAACUCUGACCCAGCAACGCCGCGUGAAGGAAGAAGGUUUUCGGAUUGUAAACUUCUGAUCUUGGGGAAAAAGAAAGUGAUGGUACCCAAGGAGAAAGCCACGGCUAACUACGUG
rnacentral:rRNA from 1 species